rnacentral:rRNA from 1 species
UACGUAGGGUGCGAGCGUUGUCCGGAAUUAUUGGGCGUAAAGAGCUUGUAGGCGGUUUGUCGCGUCUGCUGUGAAAAUCCGGGGACGUCAACCCCGGACCUUGCAGUGGGUACGGGGCAGGACUAGAGUGUUGCAGGGGAGACUGGAAGUUCCUGGUGGUAAGCGGUGGUAAAUGCGCCAGGAUAAUCAGGAGGGAACACCGG